UUCCAGCGCCCGCCGCCGCCCUGGGAGACUUGUCCCUAGCCGCCCGCCGUAGCCCGGCCGGCUGCCAUUCCCAAGAUGGCCGCGACGAGCACAGCUCCUGCGGCGGGUUAGAAGCGUAGGCGGAGCCGAGUCACUCCAGCACUCCGGGCUCGAGUCCCGGCGCCAGGCUGCAGCUUACUGCCCGCCGCGGCCAUGCGGAACUCUGUGCACGGAUGAGAGAAGUCAUCGCCGAGCUGGUCCCCUUUCCUGCCUUCGCCGUCACUCCUGCCGCCGCCAUGGAAGAGCCGCCGCCGCCGCAGGAACCCGAGCCAGAGUGCAGCCUGGUGGCGAGGCAAGAGUGCAUAUUGGGAGAUUCAGCUUGCAAGAGUCCUGAGUCAGAUCCAGAGUAUUUUUCUGAUGAAACAAAUACAGAAAAUCUUUACAGCACUUCUCCCCCCAGCACUCCUCGCCAGAUGAAACGGAUGUCAGCCAAACACCAGAGGAAUAAUGUAGGGAGGCCAGCCAGUCGAUCUAAUCUGAAAGAAAAAAUGAAUGCACCAAAUCAGCCUCCACAUAAAGACACUGGAAAAACAGCAGAGAACAUGGAAGACUAUAGCUACAAGCAGGAGAAAAAGAUCCGAGCAACUCUUAGAACAACAGAACGUGAUCAUAAGAAAAAUGUACAGUGCUCAUUCAUGUUAGACUCAGUCAGUGGGUCUUUACCAAAAAAAUCAAUUCCAGAUGUAGAUCUCAAUAAGCCUUACCUCAGCCUUGGCUGUAGCAAUGCUAAGAUUCCCGUCUCUGUACCCAUGCCUAUAGCCAGAACUGCACGCCAGACUUCUAGAACUGACUGUCCAGCAGAUCGUUUAAAGUUUUUUGAAACAUUACGACUUUUGCUAAAGCUUACCUCAGUCUCAAAGAAGAAGGACAGGGAGCAAAGAGGACAAGAAAAUACAUCUGCUUUUUGGUUUAACCGAUCAAAUGAGCUGAUCUGGUUAGAGCUGCAAGCCUGGCAUGCAGGACGGACCAUUAAUGAUCAGGACCUCUUUUUAUAUACAGCCCGUCAAGCCAUCCCAGAUAUUAUCAACGAAAUCCUUACUUUCAAAGUUAACUAUGGGAGCUUUCCCUUUAUUAGAAAUGGAGCAAGUUUCAAUGGUACUUCAAUAGAAGGGCCAUGCAAAGCCCCUUAUGAAACAAAGAAUGUGGGUUACUCAACAUAUCAUGAGCAUCUCCAGCGCCAGAGGGUCUCAUUUGAGCAGGUGAAACGGAUAAUGGAGCUGCUAGAGUAUAUAGAAGCACUUUAUCCAUCAUUGCAGGCUCUCCAAAAGGACUAUGAAAAAUAUGCUGCAAAAGACUUCCAGGACAGGGUGCAGGCACUCUGUUUGUGGUUAAACAUCACAAAAGACUUAAAUCAGAAGUUAAGGAUUAUGGGUACUGUUUUGGGCAUCAAGAAUUUAUCAGAUAUUGGCUGGCCAGUGUUUGAAAUCCCUUCCCCUCGACCAUCCAAAGGUAAUGAGCCAGAAGACGAAGGUGAUGACACAGAGGGAGAAUUAAAAGAGUUGGAAAGUAGUAUGGAUGAAAGUGAAGAAGAACAAAUCUCUGAUCCAGGGGUACCAGAAAUCAGGACAUCCGCAGACAACAGUUCGGAUGUUCAGUUGCAAGACUGUGCAUCCAGGAAGUUUGAGAGGCUUGAGUCUGAAGAGGAGCCUAUGGGCUGGGGAGCAGCAGACUAUAGCACAGAAGCAGGCUUCAGUAGACAUUGUCUGACUUCUAUUUAUAGACCAUUUGUAGACAAAGCACUGAAGCAGAUGGGGUUAAGAAAGUUAAUUUUACGACUUCACAAACUAAUGGAUGGUUCCUUGCAAAGGGCACGUAUAGCACUGGUUAAGAGUGAUCAUCCAGUGGAGUUUUCUGAAUUUCCAGAUCCCAUGUGGGGUUCAGAUUAUGUGCAGUUGUCAAGGACACCACCUUCCUCUGAACAGAAAUGCAGUUCUGUGUCCUGGGAAGAGCUGAAGGCCAUGGACUUGCCCUCAUUUGAGCCUGCCUUCUUAGUGCUCUGCCGAGUUCUGCUGAACGUUAUACAUGAGUGCCUGAAACUACGACUGGAGCAGAGGCCUGCUGGAGAGCCAUCUCUCUUGAGUAUCAAGCAGCUGGUGAGAGAGUGUAAAGAAGUCCUGAAAGGCGGCCUUUUGAUGAAGCAGUACUACCAGUUCAUGCUGCAGGAGGUUCUGGAUGACUUGGAGAAGACUGACUGCAACAUCGAUGCAUUCGAAGAAGAUCUGCAUAAGAUGUUGAUGGUAUAUUUUGAUUACAUGAGAAGCUGGAUCCAAAUGUUACAGCAAUUACCUCAAGCAUCCCAUAGUUUAAAAAAUCUGUUAGAAGAAGAAUGGAAUUUCACCAAAGAAAUAACUCAUUACAUACGGGGAGGAGAAGCACAGGCUGGAAAGCUUUUCUGGUAAAAAUCUUAUGCUUUGGUACAUGGGUUCCUUCCUUUCUCACUUUCUUCCUGGUUUGCCCAUCAAUCCUCUUUUGCACAUUUGGAUGUUCAGUUGUAUGAAAAUUACAGUCACUCAGGGCUGUGAAGUGUCCCCUCUUCCAAGUUUUGAGCAGUGGUUCUCAACCUGGGAUGAUUUUUUUCCCCCUUUCAGACACAUUGGGCAAUAUUUGCAGGUGUGUGCUUGUCAUGAUGGGGAGCAUGCUCCUGUUACCUAGUGGGCAGAGACCAAGGCUGCUGCUGCACAUCCUGUGGUGCACAGGACAGGCCUCCACAGUGGAGAAUUAUCCACCCAGAAUGGCAGGUUUGAGCUUGAGAAAUCUUGCUUUAAUGUAAACCUUUUUGAUUUUGUUUUGUUGUUGUUAUUUUUAAUAAAAGGAGGAAGA
rnacentral:lncRNA from 1 species